GACGAACGCUGGCGGCGUGCCUAAUACAUGCAAGUCGAGCGGACGGAUGGGAGCUUGCUCCCAGACCGUCAGCGGCGGACGGGUGAGUAACACGUGGGCAACCUGCCUGUAAGACUGGGAUAACUCCGGGAAACCGGGGCUAAUACCGGAUAACUCUUUCCCUCCCUUGAGGGAAAGCUGAAAGAUGGCAUCUCGCUAUCACUUACAGAUGGGCCCGCGGCGCAUUAGCUAGUUGGUGAGGUAACGGCUCACCAAGGCGACGAUGCGUAGCCGACCUGAGAGGGUGAUAGGCGACACUGGGACUGAGACACGGCCCAGACUCCUACGGGAGGCAGCAGUAGGGAAUCUUACGCAAUGGACGAAAGUCUGACGGAGCAACGCCGCGUGAGUGAUGAAGGUUUUCGGAUCGUAAAACUCUGUUGUCAGGGAAGAACAAGUACCGGAGUAACUGCCGGUACCUUGACGGUACCUGACCAGAAAGCAACGGCUAACUACGUG
rnacentral:rRNA from 1 species